GGAUUGUGACUUAGUGGUAGAGUGCUUGCCUAGCAUGUGUGAGGCACUGGGUUUGAUUCUCAGCACCA
rnacentral:tRNA from 1 species